AGUGAACGCUGGCGGCAGGCCUAACACAUGCAAGUCGAGCGGAUGAAGGGAGCUUGCUCCUGGAUUCAGCGGCGGACGGGUGAGUAAUGCCUAGGAAUCUGCCUGUUAGUGGGGGAUAACGUCCGGAAACGGGCGCUAAUACCGCAUACGUCCUGAGGGAGAAAGUGGGGGAUCUUCGGACCUCACGCUAUCAGAUGAGCCUAGGUCGGAUUAGCUAGUUGGUGGGGUAAAGGCCUACCAAGGCGACGAUCCGUAACUGGUCUGAGAGGAUGAUCAGUCACACUGGAACUGAGACACGGUCCAGACUCCUACGGGAGGCAGCAGUGGGGAAUAUUGGACAAUGGGCGAAAGCCUGAUCCAGCCAUGCCGCGUGUGUGAAGAAGGUCUUCGGAUUGUAAAGCACUUUUAGUUGGGAGGAAGGGCAGUAAGUUAAUACCUUGCUGUUUUGACGUUACCAACAGAAUAAGCACCGGCUAACUUCGUG
rnacentral:rRNA from 1 species